GACGAACCGAGCGAACGUUAUUCGGAAUCACUGGGCUUAAAGGGCGCGUAGGCGGGCCGUCAAGUCAGGGGUGAAAGCCCCCAGCUCAACUGGGGAAGUGCAUCUGAUACUGGCGGCCUCGAGGGAGGUAGGGGCGUGCGGAACUUCCGGUGGAGCGGUGAAAUGCGUAGAUAUCGGAAGGAACACCGGUGGCGAAAGCGGCGCGCUGGACCUCUUCUGACGCUGAGGCGCGAAAGCCAGGGGAGCGAACGGG
rnacentral:rRNA from 1 species